CAGCACCCCAAGUGGUCAGGAUGAUUAUUGGGCCUAAAGCAUCCGUAGCCUGUUCUGUAAGUUUCCGGUUAAAUCCAUUAGCUCAACUAAUGGGCUGCCGAAAAUACUGCAGAACUAGGGAGUGGGAGAGGUAGACGGUACUCGGUAGGAAGGGGUAAAAUCCUUUGAUCUAUUGAUGACCACCUGUGGCGAAGGCGGUCUACCAGAACACGUUCGACGGUGAGGGAUGAAAGCUGGGGGAGCAAACCGGAUUAGAGACCCGCGUAGUCC
rnacentral:rRNA from 1 species